rnacentral:rRNA from 1 species
CCCAGACUCCUACGGGAGGCAGCAGUGGGGAAUAUUGGACAAUGGGCGAAAGCCUGAUCCAGCCAUGCCGCGUGUGUGAAGAAGGCCUUUUGGUUGUAAAGCACUUUAAGCGAGGAGGAGGCUACUUAGAUUAAUACUCUAGGAUAGUGGACGUUACUCGCAGAAUAAGCACCGGCUAACUCUGUGCCAGCAGCCGCGGUAAUACAGAGGGUGCGAGCGUUAAUCGGAUUUACUGGGCGUAAAGCGUGCGUAGGC